rnacentral:rRNA from 1 species
CCCGGACGAAAGCCGGGCUAAUACCGCAUAUGGCCUACGGGUCAAAGCAGCAAUGCGCCUUUAGAUGAGCCUGCGUCCCAUUAUUUAAUCCUAGUUGGCGGGGUAAUGGCCCACCAAGGGGUACGAUGGGUAGCUGGUCUGAGAGGACGAUCAGCCACACUGGGACUGAGACACGGCCCAGACUCCUACGGGAGGCAGCAGUGGGGAAUAUUGCGCAAUGGGCGAAAGCCUGACGCAGCCAACCCGCGUGUGUGAUGAAGGCCUUCGGGGUUGUAAAGCACUGUCGUGAGGGAAGAAGUUCUGACGGUACCUCACAAGAAAGCACCGGCUAACCCCGUGCCAGCAGCCGCGGUAAUACGGGGGGUGCAAGCGUUGCUCGGAAUCACUGGGCGUAAAGCGUCCGCAGGCGGGACGGUCAGUCGAAUGUGAAAGCCCGGGGCUCAACCCCGGAACUGCGUUCGAUACUGCCGUCCUCGAGUUCGGGAGAGGGGAGCGGAAUUCCUGGUGUAGAGGUGAAAUUCGUAGAUAUCAGGAGG